rnacentral:rRNA from 1 species
AGUGAACGCUGGCGGUAGGCCUAACACAUGCAAGUCGAACGGCAGCACAGUAAGAGCUUGCUCUUACGGGUGGCGAGUGGCGGACGGGUGAGGCAUACAUCGGAAUCUACUUUUUCGUGGGGGAUAACGUAGGGAAACUUACGCUAAUACCGCAUACGACCUACGGGUGAAAGCAGGGGAUCUUCGGACCUUUCGCGAUUGAAUGAGCCGAUGUCGGAUUAGCUAGUUGGCGGGGUAAAGGCCCACCAAGGCGACGAUCCGUAGCUGGUCUGAGAGGAUGAUCAGCCACACUGGAACUGAGACACGGUCCAGACUCCUACGGGAGGCAGCAGUGGGGAAUAUUGGACAAUGGGCGCAAGCCUGAUCCAGCCAUACCGCGUGGGUGAAGAAGGCCUUCGGGUUGUAAAGCCCUGUUGUUGGGAAAGAAAAGCAGCAGGUGAAUACCCCGCUGUUCUGACGGUACCCAAAGAAUAAGCAACGGCUAACUUCGUG